CCUACGGGUGGCAGCAGUGGGGAAUAUUGCACAAUGGAGGGAACUCUGAUGCAGCGACGCCGCGUGAGUGAAGAAGUAAUUCGUUAUGUAAAGCUCUAUCAGCAGGGAAGAAAGUGACGGUACCUGACAAAGAAUCUCCGUCUAAAUACGUGCCAGCAGCCGUGGUAAUACGUCGGGGGCAAGCGUUAUCCGGAUUUACUGGGUGUAAAGGGAGCGUAGACGGCAGCGCAAGUCUGAAGUGAAAUCCCAUGGCUUAACCAUGGAACUGCUUUGGAAACUGUGCAGCUGGAGUGCAGGCGAGGUAGGCGGAAUUCCUAGUGUAGCGGUGAAAUGCGUAGAUAUUAGGAGGAACACCAGUGGCGAAGGCGGCUUACUGGACUGUAACUGACGUUGAGGCUCGAAAGCGUGGGGAGCAAACAGGAUUAGAUACCCGGGUAGUC
rnacentral:rRNA from 1 species